rnacentral:rRNA from 1 species
AACGAACGCUGGCGGCAGGCCUAACACAUGCAAGUCGAGCGCCCCGCCAGGGGAGCGGCGGACGGGUGAGUAACGCGUGGGAACGUACCCUUUGCUACGGAAUAGCCUCGGGAAACUGGGAGUAAUACCGUAUGUGUCCUUCGGGAGAAAGAUUUAUCGGCAAGGGAUCGGCCCGCGUUGGAUUAGGUAGUUGGUGGGGUAAUGGCCUACCAAGCCGACGAUCCAUAGCUGGUUUGAGAGGAUGAUCAGCCACACUGGGACUGAGACACGGCCCAGACUCCUACGGGAGGCAGCAGUGGGGAAUCUUAGACAAUGGGCGCAAGCCUGAUCUAGCCAUGCCGCGUGAGCGAUGAAGGCCUUAGGGUUGUAAAGCUCUUUCAGGGGGGAAGAUAAUGACUGUACCCCCAGAAGAAGCCCCGGCUAACUCCGUG